UUGGGAAUUUUGCACAAUGGACGAAAGUCUGAUGCAGCAACGCCGCGUGGAGGAUGAAGGUUUUCGGACUGUAAACUCCUUUUGCUAGGGAGCAAUUUUUGAGAGUACCUAGCGAAUAAGCACCGGCUAACUCCGUGCCAGCAGCCGCGGUAAUACGGAGGGUGCAAACGUUGUCCGGAUUUACUGGGCGUAAAGCGCAUGUAGGUGGUUUGGUAAGUGAACGAUUAAAGACCGACGCUCAACGUCGGGAAGGUUGUUCAUACUGCCUUACUUGAGGAUAGCAGGGGUACGCGGAACUUUGAGUGUAGGAGUGAAAUCCGUAGAUAUUCAAAGGAACACCAAUGGCGAAGGCAGCGUACUGGGCUUUUUCUGACACUGAGAUGCGAAAGCGUGGGGAGCA
rnacentral:rRNA from 1 species